rnacentral:rRNA from 1 species
GUGGGGAAUCUUCCGCAAUGGACGAAAGUCUGACGGAGCAACGCCGCGUGAGUGAUGACGGCCUUCGGGUUGUAAAGCUCUGUGAUCGGGGACGAAUGGCUGGUAUGCUAAUACCAUAUCAGAGUGACGGUACCCGAAUAGCAAGCCACGGCUAACUACGUGCCAGCAGCCGCGGUAAUACGUAGGUGGCAAGCGUUGUCCGGAAUUAUUGGGCGUAAAGCGCGCGCAGGCGGCUUCUUAAGUCCAUCUUAAAAGUGCGGGGCUUAACCCCGUGAUGGGAUGGAAACUGGGAGGCUGGAGUAUCGGAGAGGAAAGUGGAAUUCCUAGUGUAGCGGUGAAAUGCGUAGAGAUUAGGAAGAACACCGGUGGCGAAGGCGACUUUCUGGACGACAACUGACGCUGAGGCGCGAAAGCGUGGGGAGCAAACAGGAUUAGAAACCCGAGUAGUCC